rnacentral:rRNA from 1 species
AGCAGCCGCGGUAAUUCCAGCUCCAAUAGCGUAUAUUAAAGUUGUUGCAGUUAAAAGCUCGUAGUUGAAUUUCGGGAUCAGUACGCUGGUCAUGCCUUUGGUAUGCACUGGUGUCACUGGUUUCUCCCUUCUGAAGAACCGUGAUGUCAUUAAUUUGGUGUCGCGGGGAAUCAGGACUGUUACUUUGAAAAAAUUGAGUGUUUAAAGCGGGCUCACGCUUGAAUACAUUAGCAUGGAAUAAUGAAAUAGGACGUUUGACCCUAUUUUGUGGUUUCUAGGAUCGACGUAAUGAUUAAUAGGGAUAGUUGGGGCAUUAGUAUUCAAUUGUCAGAGGUGAAAUUCUUGGAUUUAUUGAAAGACUAACUACUGCGAAAGCAAUUUGCCAAGGAUGUUUCAUUAAUCAAGAACGAAGGUUAGGGAUCGAAGACGAUCAGAUACCGUCGUAGUCUUAACCAUAAACUAUG